rnacentral:lncRNA from 1 species
GGAAACGGUGCCAUGCAAAAAGUACACGUAUAUUAUAGUUGCAGAUAUUGUGUUUCUUAGAUCUCGAGUCAAUAUAGUAUCGAAAGAUGACAAGGCUGUGUCCAUUACUUGGGCAGGAACAUUUGAAUAACUAAAGGGACUGGAUAACAGAUCACCAAGCUCGUAUUAGAAGAUAUGGCAGAAGUCUUUUUUCACGUGAGUGUAACCCAGAUAUGUAAGUAACUGUGUUCUGAUAAUCUCAAUUUUGAUUUAUUUCAUAACUGGAAUAGAAUUUGACAUUCACUUUGCCAAAUGGCAAACGCAUUUGUGAAAAAUAAGGUCACGCUUUUGUUGCUUAAUGUAGAGAUGCCUGGCUCCAAUCCAUGAAAGGUAAUUAACAAAAUGUCUCUUCCUCAAUCCCACUCACCGUUAAAAACGAAUUAAAAUAUCACCGAUGAAUUUCUUCGUUUAUUUUCAUAUCACUUGCCACGAUCAAAGAUCACUUAAGACCAUCUGUGUAAACUGAACUGUGCCUGCGUAUUGUUUAUUAAAGAGACCCAGGUGGUCCAUGGCAUGGAUGCUAAGCGGUAUGUCACGGACUGUGGAGAGGUGCUAGGUUUAUCUCUAGGACGAACAUCAGCGCCUGUUGGUAAUGUGUUAACACUUCACCGUUUGAGUCUCGCGCAUGGGUGAGCGUGAUACGUCGAAAUUCGAGAAACGCAAAGACACAGAGCCUACAAGCGGAGGGGAACGCUUGGUAGACGCUGGAAGAGUCUGCGCUGGAUAAUAUUUUAGAUAUAUGAAGACAGAUUGAUAGCACCCUGACUGAGAUGGCUACUUUAUUUACGUUUCGAGUUUUUAAGAAGCCAUUUUGUGAAGCCGUAGACGCGUGUUGCAUUCCGUAAACGCCAUCGCUUCACUGAAAUCCCCGAUUCGGACGCGCAUCUGCCUCUUGUAAUUUAUUUGAGUGAUAAUGUUUUCGUAGACAAGAAAAUCCUUCGAACUGUAAACUGUUGAGUCACUCCGUCCAGGUUUCUAGCCGUCAGCGCCUCUUGUAGCACACUCACACGACGCUGUGUCGAGCAAUUUCCCUGCACGCCAUAUAGCCUCAACAUAUUGUUUCCUUUUAUUCUGCAUAUUCAGAAAACGCCAACAGCCAUCUGCUUGAAAUCUCAUUAGCCUCUCCGCCAGAACUGCAGUAAAUAUCAAUAAACUUGCCAUCCACCUGGGCAUGUUCGGAGUGUGCAUUACAGGAAAUAUCAUAGUAAACCAACCCCUUGGGUCAUUAUUCAUGGUAUUUAUUUGGCUAAGGAGUCCUACACCUGAUUAUUACUAUGAAAUACGAGGCUCGGCUUCGCUGGAAUCUUGCAGUCGCAGCUGAGUGAAGGGCAAGAAAGUAGUAGAUUAUUGGGAGUUUCCGAUUCACGCUGCUACUUGGAGUGACUUAUUGCCGAUUGAAAGUUUUUCCUGCUUACGGAUUGAUAGCUUAAGGAUUCUUUCUCCAUUCAUCAGUUGUGUUGUUCGUAUUCAGAGGAGGAUAUUGGGGUGCCAAUGGGUCGCAGAGAUGACGACGGUGGCGGGAGGCGAAGGUCAAGGUCGUCAGGAAGUAGGUCAGGUCGCGCAGGCCGAGACCAAAAAUGUGCCAAACAAAAAGAGAAGCGUCACGCCAAGAAAGGCGAAUGGCGACACGUGAAAAGCCAACACCUCAAACGACGCUUCGACAUGCACGGUCACCACUCACACCAUUCCCAUAAAUCCAGCAACACCGUCGGAGGACUUGUUAAAUUGACUGCCCCCAAUCCAUCGAUGUACACCCACCAAAACAGCACAAUCUCCACGUCCAGUUCUGACAUUGAGACUCAAGAAACUCCCACGAGGCGAAAAACUCACCGUGGGAUAAGUCACAUUUCUGAGGUGUCCCUUAUGUCGGACAGCUCUGAAAAGCAGAACAAAAGUGGUCGUAAAUGUUGCCGGAUAUCAGUGAAUUGUAUUUGUAAAUUUCUGGGUGGUGUUGGCGCACUGGCCGUGGUCGGGGUACUUCUGCUGUUGUUUUUAUUGUAGCGGCGCAAAUUGACGGUGAUCUUCAAUUAAUUGUAUGGAUCUGAUCUUAAAACUCGAUUUUAAAAAAUGAAAGGACAGAAAGGUUUACUCUACAUUAACCACGCACACCGAUACAAAAUGCGACGGGAUUUAUGCUGCAUGUACGUGUACAGUAACGAAAAUGUGAAAACAAAAAAUGUAAACUUCAUAUUAGCGGAUAGAGUGGAUGGUGCUGUGUUCAAUGUUGACCAGAAUGAGGACCCUCUUGUGGAAAACAGGCAUCAUUGAUAUAAGAAUGCAAUUUGAAACAAAACAAUAAACAAGAUGGAAUAGAAAAACACGGUUAUCCAUACAUGUACCACCAGCAACAUAUACCUUUUUCAUGGAGGUUUAUAUUAACUCCACAUCUGCAAACAUUUUUCAUUAACCCUCGGAUUAGAUUUGCGGUGAGGAUAAUGAUGUCAACGUGAGUAAUUUCCCUUUAAAUGAGAGGAAAUAGGAAUAUAUUUUUAAUAGAUAAU